rnacentral:rRNA from 1 species
AAUGGGCGAAAGCCUGAUCCAGCCAUGCCGCGUGUGUGAUGAAGGCCCUAGGGUUGUAAAGCACUUUCAACGGUGAAGAUAAUGACGGUAACCGUAGAAGAAGCUCCGGCUAACUUCGUGCCAGCAGCCGCGGUAAUACGAAGGGAGCUAGCGUUGUUCGGAAUUACUGGGCGUAAAGCGCGCGUAGGCGGACUAUUAAGUCAGGGGUGAAAUCCCGAGGCUCAACCUCGGAACUGCCUUUGAUACUGGUGGUCUAGAGAUCGAGAGAGGUGAGUGGAAUUCCGAGUGUAGAGGUGAAAUUCGUAGAUAUUCGGAGGAACACCAGUGGCGAAGGCGGCUCACUGGCUCGAUACUGACGCUGAGGUGCGAAAGCGUGGGGAGCAAACAGGAUU